CAGGUUUGGAUCAAAAACGAAAAAUUGCCUCCAUUGCGCCCCCUGGAAGAUUUUGACGAAGCCCCGCCCGCACCCUGUUUGACCGACAAGUCCGCUGAUUUUUUACCAUAUGUAUUAACGGGAGACUUAAAAAAGUCUCUGAGGAAUUUUCUCUAAGACAAACAGGAAGGCAGUUAUAAUUUUUUUAGUGUGACUAUUCCCUGUAUUUUUGCAGGGGAGUGACGAAUCCUAUAUCAGUGACAUUUCGACUUCUCAAAACCAUCAGAGGGUUUAGCUCUCCUGGUAAGCACCCGCCCCCCGAUGCUAUGGUCGUGAGUUCGUGUCCCGGUGAAAACACUUUUUUUUUCUCCUCUUUUUAAACGCGUGUCUUCUGAUCUAACGAACGAAAUGAUUCAGUUUACUCUCCUUGCUGAGGUUAUUAAAUAACUGUACACUUAGAGCAGGGGUGUUAAACUAUUUUGAGGUUAGGGCCACAUACGGCUCCGUGGCACAUGAACGGAAUGAUACAUAGGACUGAUGCGCUCUGCACUCAGCUGGCGGACGGCUGAGUGCGAGUAACAACACAUCUAAACUGGAAAGAUAACACGGACAGUUCAAUCUAAAUACAUCUGGAUUUAAAUAGACGUAUUCUGCAACAUACGGGUGGAGAUGCAAACACGUUUUGUGAUGUUACUAGAUGUUACGGGUUACUGUUAAGGUAUAGAACUUCAUUACCCAGCAUUCCCUAGCACGUAGUCUCGCGUGAGUUCAUGCUGUUGUCGCGAGAGUUUGCCAUUGAAGCCCCGGCGUUGAACAGCUGCAGCUCGUAUCCAGUCCGUAUUUUAUAUUUUAAACUGCUAACUACACACCUAUGCUUAAAUCCAAACGGACUAAACCAAGUGGAAACGCUUUGGUAGGUCUCCCUGCUGCCGCCAUUCGACCACUGCAGCUCAUCCAGAAUGCAGCAGCUCGACUGGUCUUCAACCUUCCGAAAUACUCCCACACCACUUCUCCGCUCUCUUCAUUGGUUACGAGUGGCUGCCCGCAUCCAGUUCAAAGCAUUGUGACUGACGUACCACGCUGUGAAUGGAUCGGGACCAGUCUACAUCUAGGACAUGGUGAAACCCUACAUCCCAACCCGCACACUCCGAUCUGCAUCUGCCAAGCGGCUUGUUCCUCCCUCACUGAGAGAAAAACACUCGGCGAGAUGGCGACUCUUUGCUGUCCUGCUCCCAGAUGGUGGAACGAGCUCUCCGAUGACAUCAGGACUGCAGAGAGCCUCUACAUCUUCCGUCGAAAACUCAAGACACACCUUUUUAGACUCUACCUCGACUAAAACACUAGCAAACCGUAGCACUAACAAAUGGUAGCACUUAAAUUGUACUUAUAAUGGCACUUUUCUCUAACAUGUUUUGAAACUGCCUAUUUGAUGAAAAUGUACUUUCUUGUUACUUGUUCAUCUGAGUUUGCAUCUCUAUGUGGAAAUGCACUUAUUGUACGUCGCUUUGGAUAAAAGCGUCAGCACUUAUUCAAGAAGACUCCUCAUGUGACUUAAGAUGUGUUUAAUGAAUCCAGAAUGUUAUAUUUGUUCAGUAUGCAGGGGCAGUGAUUUAUUUAGUCAUAUUUUGUUUUUUUUUACAUGACAAUAUGGUUUGGUACAUGCUGAGUUAAUGAAUAUACAUUCUAAAGUGCAAUGUCCAUAUGUGAAUGAGUUGUAUACUUUUAUCAUAGUCAACAUGGUACGGAAAUAUCCCUUAUGUAGUUGGUCAAUAGGAACUAUAAUAGGCAGUAUUAACAGCUAAGUUAAUUACGGGUGGAUAUUUCUGUGAAUUAACCUUGAUUGAGACUGCGUCUAUAAGAUAUACAGGACAAGAAAAAUGCACUGGAUGUAAACUGUACGUGUGUUGAAUCAAUUAUACGGACGCAAACUGGAGAACGAGA